rnacentral:pre_miRNA from 1 species
AAUGUAUGACGCCAUUGACUUUUUGUCAAACGUUUGACCAUUCGUCUUAUUCAAAAAAUUUAUGUAAUUAUCAUUUAUUUUAAUGUAACUUGAUUCAUCAUCAAAUAUUUUUUAAGCAUGACAUAAAUAUUUUUAUAUUUACACAAAAAAUUUGAAUAAAACGAAUGGUCAAACGUUAUUCGAAAAGUCAACGAUGUUAUGCAU